AAAGCCUGCACCGUGGGCAGGAGGGGGAGAGGGUGACUGGUGAGCAAUCUGCUUGUCCUCUCUCUCUCUCUGUCUCUGAACACAGACGCCUGGAGGAUGACCACCCAGAAGGGACUGCGGCCUCCCACCUGCUCAGCCAGAAACCAUGGAGCCGGGCCCAGGCAGAACUGCAAUCAACUGCAUUCCCUGGCACAACAACAACCCUGUGUACCAAUCGACGCGUCUGGAGGGCUAAGAGCUGCCAGCCAUCGCUGUGACCGGGUCCCUCAUCCUCCCACUGUAUAUGAAGCCGAAAAUGGAAUCAGUAGAAAUGAAGUUUUGCCACGACAUGAGAAGCCAGAAAAGUGAAGCAGAACAUGAACAGGAACAUUAUUCAGCCUUGGCUGACUA